rnacentral:rRNA from 1 species
UGGCGGACGGGUGAGUAAUGUCUGGGAAACUGCCUGAUGGAGGGGGAUAACUACUGAAACGGUAGCUAAUACCGCAUAACGUCGCAAGACCAAAGAGGGGGACCUUCGGGCCUCUUGCCAUCGGAUGUGCCCAGAUGGGAUUAGCUAGUAGGUGGGGUAAACGGCUCACCUAGGCGACGAUCCCUAGCUGGUCUGAGAGGAUGACCAGCCACACUGGAACUGAGACACGGUCCAGACUCCUACGGGAGGCAGCAUG